GAUGAACGCUAGCGGCAGGCUUAACACAUGCAAGUCGAGGGGUAUAGGAAGCUUGCUUUCUAGAGACCGGCGCACGGGUGCGUAACGCGUAUGCAAUCUACCUUUCACAGAGGGAUAGCCCAGAGAAAUUUGGAUUAAUACCUCAUAGUAUUACGACUUGGCAUCAAGAUGUAAUUAAAGAUUUAUCGGUGAAAGAUGAGCAUGCGUCCCAUUAGCUAGUUGGUAUGGUAACGGCAUACCAAGGCUACGAUGGGUAGGGGUCCUGAGAGGGAGAUCCCCCACACUGGUACUGAGACACGGACCAGACUCCUACGGGAGGCAGCAGUGAGGAAUAUUGGACAAUGGGCGCAAGCCUGAUCCAGCCAUGCCGCGUGCAGGAUGACGGUCCUAUGGAUUGUAAACUGCUUUUAUACAGGAAGAAACACCUCUACGUGUAGAGACUUGACGGUACUGUAAGAAUAAGGAUCGGCUAACUCCGUGCCAGCAGCCGCGGUAAUACGGAGGAUCCAAGCGUUAUCCGGAAUCAUUGGGUUUAAAGGGUCCGUAGGCGGUCAGGUAAGUCAGUGGUGAAAGCCCAUCGCUCAACGGUGGAACGGCCAUUGAUACUGUCUGACUUGAAUUAUUAGGAAGUGACUAGAAUAUGUAGUGUAGCGGUGAAAUGCUUAGAGAUUACAUGGAAUACCAAUUGCGAAGGCAGGUUACUACUAAUAUAUUGACGCUGAUGGACGAAAGCGUGGGUAGCGAACAGGAUUAGAUACCCUGGUAGUCCACGCCGUAAACGAUGGAUACUAGCUGUUGGGAGCAAUCUCAGUGGCUAAGCGAAAGUGAUAAGUAUCCCACCUGGGGAGUACGAACGCAAGUUUGAAACUCAAAGGAAUUGACGGGGGCCCGCACAAGCGGUGGAGCAUGUGGUUUAAUUCGAUGAUACGCGAGGAACCUUACCAAGGCUUAAAUGUAGUUUGACCGGUUU
rnacentral:rRNA from 1 species